GACGAACCGUGCGAACGUUAUUCGGAAUCACUGGGCUUAAAGCGCGUGUAGGCGGGACGGCACGUCGGUCGCUGAAAUCCCCCGGCUUAACCGGGGAACGGGCGCCGAUACGACCGCCCUAGAGGGACGUAGGGGGACCUGGAACUUCCGGUGGAGCGGUGAAAUGCGUUGAGAUCGGAAGGAACGCCCGUGGCGAAAGCGAACUGCUGGACCUCUUCUGACACUGAGGCGCGAAAGCUAGGGGAGCAAACGGG
rnacentral:rRNA from 1 species